UUUAUGUCAGUGUCUCGCCUGUGUUCUCUUCUAGGAGUUUUACGGUGUCAUGUCUUACAUGGGUCUUUAAACCAUUUUGAGUUUAUUUUUGUGGAUCAAAUAUUUUUGAAGUAUAAUUGAAAAUACAUAGCUAAGCUCUAAAGUAUAAAAGGGAUAUAUUGAAGUACCAGAAUUGAAGAAACCGUUGCUGUGUUGGUGAGCUGUGAGCGUGGCCCCUGGCCCCAUGGUGGAGACUCAGAGGGUGGGGUGGGGGGGUAGGACCCAGUCAUAGGCCUCCAGGACCAGGGUUUGACACCCUCACCUGGAUAGGAAGCCCGCUUCAUGAGUUGGCCCAGAAAAGCACUGCCUUUUCUGUAAGAGGAGUUAGAGAAUCUAGCUGCUGGCCUGAGUCAGGGCUCAGAGGGAGUCAUCAGCCCCAGGCUGCAGGGGGAAACAUCAUGUUGGAAAAUCUCACCUGCAGAUCAGCUCUACUCACAAAGUUCAGAUAAAGCCAAGCCAAAAAUCCAGUGUAAAAACUAAUUUGGAGCCAGUAAACCCAGUAAGAGUCCUCUGCAGCCCUGGGGCCACGGGGGACUCCCAGGGCAGUAACUGCUAGGGUGGGGAAAUGUAGCCAAAACCACAGAACCCUGGGACGUGGGUGUCAGCAUUCUGCACAGCUGUUCGUGUGUCUAAAAGACUUCAUUUUCUUUAAAAAGCAACACAAAAGGAAGUCCCCCGUGGUCCAGAAGACUGCUAACAGACCUAGGUGAAAGUCUCUAUACCCAAGAAGCUAAAAGUAAUGGAGAUUAUUUCAUGGAUAUGGAACAGGAGACCCUGUUUGGUCCAAAUCACAGGAGCAAAGCCACACUGAGGUGUCCUAUGACCCAGUGCUACAGACUGCAGCUUGUGGCCGGUGAGUUGGCGAGUCCCAGAGGGUGUCGGUUCGGCGGGAGCUGUGGGAUGGAACUAGUGCAUUGGCAGAGCAACCCAAGGGGGCAGCCAGGUCGGGGGGCAGCGCAUGCAGUGAACCGCCAUGCAGAAGUCCUGGGGCGCUCUUCCCAGCCCGGGGAGCCAGGGAGAGUGCGCCAUCAGGACAGGAGGUGAGUGCCCCCGGCCCCCUCCUGGACCCCCAUCGGUGCCAGGCUCAGAGCAAGUCUGUUGCAUGCUUUCCUGGCCAGAGCUACAUGGAAAGCGGAGACAGCAGGCCGGUGGGUGACGCUGAGGGGCAGGGAGGGAAAAGCUCCUCGUGGCCCCUCGGCCCCAAGUCACUGCCUCUGAGCCGGGCCCGAUGGCCUCCGUACAUUCACAGCUGGUGGGAGGGGAAGUCGUCAAGGCCAUCAAAGGCAAUGAGAACGGUAAACAUUUGGCUAAGAUGUCACCCUGGGUAAGACAGGGCCAUCUGUGAGGAUGGACUGGAAGGAGAGUGGACCUAGGUGAGCGUGGGAGGUUAGCCAGUGGCAGGGGCUCUUCUACGAUACAUGUCGGUAGUAAAGACCUGAUUGUGUGACCUGCUACAAAUGACUACGACUACAACAGGAAAUACGGUGCUAUUCAAAUCUAUUAAGAAGUCUGUUGUCUUUAAAAAAUAAAUAAAUAAAAAUAAAACAGGAAAACAAAAACCCAACCAACCCUAGGAUCUUAAAGUAGCUAUUAAUUAGGAUUCUAACCACGUUGUAGUUAGCCCCCGGUUGGUUUCCUGUGAUGAACUGGUACAGGCUAGAGCUAGGUACAAAAGUUUAUGAAUGCUUUGAAAGAGUAACAAAGUGCAAAGAGGGUAGACUGCAGGAGGGUGCCGGCAGCUCCCAGGAGCCCCACGCCCCUCCUGGCUACAGGGUGUCCGUGCUGAGGCGGGUCUGGGUCCAGCUGCGCCGUGGGCACUGGGGUCCCCUUCAGCAGCGUUCCAUAGUGCGGUUGGUGUUUUCCUGCAGUUCAAGAGGAGUUGGGCUUUCUGGCUGAGAUUUAUACUGAAGACUGGUCCCAGACCUAGGAGGAGGAGGGGGUUUUGCCAUCAGAGGUCAGAAAUCGCUGUGCUCACUUUGCAAACAGGAAGCCCAGACUGGGGUGUGCAGGAGCACGAGGCCUCGCCUUCCUGCUGUGAGCCGAGCUUGCGGAACUCACCGCAGAGUCCCCAACACUACCGGCAGGGGUGCCAACAGUGAACUGCGGAUGGCAGCAGGAGAGUGCAAUCCAGAAAACUGGCCCCUGGAACCGGCUGGCCUGCUGAGGAGACACCAUGCUCUGGAGCCUCCCCGUGCACUUGGGGGGCCCCUAGUCUUCGGCACGUCCCUCCAUCUUCUCAGUUGCUAACCUAAAAAUUACACAGGUAAUAAAUACAUGCACGUGAUUUAAAAAUUUUGAAAGGUUCGGAGUUCUUCUAGAAGGCAACCACUGUUACCAGUUCGGUGUAGCCUUCCAGAGAAACUGUUGAUGUAUAUGUGUUUGAAAAAGUAAGGCAUCAAACCUUUUGAAUAGCAUGUUAUCACCUGUGUUUAAGAAGGGUGACUACACAUCCGUAUUUGUUUGUAUGCAGAGAGGAUCUCUAGAAACUGCACGCUGGCUGCCUCCGGAAAGGGAAUGCCAUAGCCCUUGCAGCUUUUACGGUCUGAGGUGCACACAUUAUCCAUGUGCGCAGCAGGAAGCCCCUUCUUAAGACGUUCUCUUCCUAAGCUUGUUAAGUCCCGCAGACUCCGAAGUACGGUAGUGGCGCCCCUUCCCUACAACAGUGGCCCCUCGGGGAUGAGGAGGGCGCCUUACUCACCUUGUUGACCUGGGACAGCGGGGUCCUCACGGCUCCCACAGGCAGCCGGCCCCUGCUGCCGUCCUCAAACAGCCUCCCGGGGGAGCGCUCCCUGCGUGUGCUGAGCAUCCGGCCGGGGGACUUCUCCCGCUCCAGGGGACGGCCCGGAGACUUGUCCCUGCGCAGCUCCGUCCGCCCCUCGCGGUAGCGGUGGGGCGUGCCGGGCUCUCGCGGGUGGCUGGGGCCUUCGGGGGGCGCCGGGCUGGAGGCCACGCGCUUGGUGAUGUGCUCGUUGUACGUCGGCGGGCCUCGCUUGUUGGGGCUGCGAUAACGGGAGAGGAAGGUGGGGAGCUGAGCCAUCACAACCCAACGGGGCAGCUUCCUUCUCCUCUGGGCCACCCUGUGACCCCAUCUCACCGCGCGUUAUUAGAAAAAGACCCCACCGGGAAUUCUUCGAGACGCUUAUGUCGACAGUGAGGCCAGGGAAAGAAGGCAGCAGUGACAGCAGAGGGGAAUCAGGCUUCCCGGUCUCGACACAGGCUUUCUGCUGAGCGCCCAUAGCGUGUCGGGCCCUGUGCUAAGCUCUUCAGGUACCUUAACUCGCCAGAUCACCCUAACAGCAGCUCUGCAAGCUAGGAACGGCCGUGACCCUCGUCGUACAGACAAGAAGCUGGAGACACAGAGAGGCUGCGAUUCCAGUGCAGCCCUGGGUAUGUCAGAUGAAGAUCUGACCAGACACGGCCCUAACCACCUCUCUGAAGAAGAUCCAGAAACACAGGACUGACACAGCCUUCGGCGUCAGUUCCUUCCCAACCCUGACGAACAGCCAAGCUGAAAAUGUGGAAAUUCCAACAACCCACGCUCAGAAAGCCAGAACCUUCUUGUGUGUGCAGCAGUAAAAUCUGAGAUAAACCUUGAUUUCAAGACGUCGAAAUCUGAGCUAUCGUCAUCUCUUGUCCUGUGGCUUUGUGAUAUAGAAGACAAAAGAAGAAAUUUCCAGUAAGAGUAUCUGAUUUGUAAUGGAAGAGAAAUUAUAAAGCGUGUCAGGGGCCCAUCGUAAAGCAAGCUCACUGCCCAGAGGAAGACAAGUGGCUCAAGGAAGGCCAUUCGGGAAGUCAGCCUAGGUUGAUGGGAUAAAGGAAAACACUCGUCAUUCUGGGCGGAGCGGGCCAUUUUCCAUCUCCAAAUCCCUUAAUAACCAAUGCUCUACUUGCAAAGAGUUACAUUUCCUGCUCUGCUAAACAGACCUGGGGGCGGUGCAGCCUGCAGUGAAUCACAUUCUCCCAAGCUGGCCUUCUCCAUUCUGGACCUGCCCAAAGCAGACAGCAGCAAAAAGACGGUUUUAUAAGCCAAGAGGCAACUAAAGGAAACUGCUGGUUCUCCAGACAUGCCCGGCAGCAGCAGGAACAGCAGCAGCAUUAUUUCUGCCCCUUGUUCACAGGAACUAGAACCAUUUUCCACGACAGAGGAAGUUAACUCCUUACAGAGACACCAUAUCAUCUCAAAAGGAAGGUGCCUGGCCAUCUAACUAACUAGUGAGGCAGUGGAGAAAAGAAGAAAAAUCUAAUUACAGUACUUGGGUUGGCUCUUGGCAUGACUGACUUGGAAACUAAAUAAAAUCUAGACAUUGUCAGGAGAGGACUACAGCCCUUUGAGCAGUCUCUCCUGAGGCACGAUCAAGCCAAAAAGAGUGAGAAGCAGCUGGUUAUUCAGCACUUCUGGUUUUCCAGCAAGUUCCUGGGACUAAAAUCACACUGACCAAACAUUUCUGACCAACACUUACAUUUCAACAAAAGAAACAGACACUAGUCGUCAGGACAUAGUCUCAGAGCAUUAAAUUGACGACUCUUUUCUAAGAUCUAAGCAGCAUUUCAUAACAUUAAAGGUGGUUCCUCCACCAAACUGAGUCCCUUGAGAAUAAAAACCAUCUUGUCUUCAGCUGUGUAGCCCCAGACAUUGUGUCUGGCACAUGGUAGGGGGUCCACAUAACUCUCUAUAAUAGGGUAGACAUGUGGGGUUUGUAAACCAGUCCGCAAAAUUAAAACCCUAGGUCAGUUAAAUAUUCCCCUGGGUUAAAUAAGCUUAUCUCCUUUGUGGACCAGGAUCUUAAAAUUACACAUCUCAAACCUACACAUCGAACCGAAUCUGGCUCCGAGCCCUGGGUGUCAAGACAAAGCCAGUUCCACUUCCACACACUGCUGGUGGGAUAACUAAAGGGUAGAGCCCCUAAGGAGGAAAACUCACCAACAUCUAUCAAAACUACCAACGCCCAUCAAUUUCUUUUGUAGGAAUUCAUCCUCCAGAUAGAUUCCUAAGCAUGCAAAACGAAUGUACAAAGUCAUUUACUACAGCAACAGACUGGAAACAACCCAAACACCCAGUGAUAAAGGAGCAGUUAAAUAAGGUACAGGCAGGUGAACGAAUGCUAUGCAGGCGUAAAAAAAAAGAAUGAAGAAAUACUUCGGAUACUGACGUGGAGCAGAUCUCUAAGACACAGAAGAGUGUGCACAGUACGCUAUCGCCUGUAUUGAGAAGAAGGGGAAGAGCACUUCCAGAAUGGCCGAGCAAGGACUCCCGAAAACCUGCUUCUCCAUAGAAACAACAAGAACACUGGCAAAAUUGUCAAAAUCAACUUUUUGGAACUCUGGAAAUUAACCAAAGUCUUGCAACAAUUCAGAGAGUGUUUAUGCAAGAAAAUGUGCAAUAUUCACCACCCCUGUCUCCCCAGAUCUGCAGUAGUUUUGAAAGCAACAGCCUUGUAACCAGCUGUGAAAACCAGCACCCUGGUAACCACUGGAGGGAGUACAUUAGGACUGGAGCUUCCCAAGAGCCCCAGCCUUGGAAAACUGUCACUAUCUGACCUAUCUGGCUCCUCCCUGGAAAAAAGACCAUCCUCAGGGCUUGUUUUUAAUUGAGCUGAUUCAGGUCUUCCUCUCUAGAAAUGCCCUAUCUCUAGACGUUUACCAAAAAAAAAAAAAAAUCAAUGGCUACUGUUUCACAUGGCAAAUGCCUGAGGCAGUAAGACCAGUUGGGAAAAACAAGAGGCCAGCUACAACACUCAAAAGGAAGUCCUGCAUAUUCCUGGGGAUCUGUAAGGCCAGACACACACAGGUAAGCCUGUCACAUACCCAGGAAAAACCUUCCAAGGCCUCGUCCGUCAGCCACAGCUGACUCUGAGUGCUGCAGGUGUGCCCCAGCAUAAAUACACACAGUCGCUCAGCAAAGGGCGGGUUCGGUGCAUUUAAGGAAAUCUCUUUCUAGUCAUUCAGCUGACCACUACCCUAACCAAGCAGAAACUUCAAUGGCUGCACAUAACAAAGGACACAGACUACAGAUUUAGUACAAGAGACACUAAACCAAUAGCGACAACAACACGCCCAGGGAGGGGAAGGGGGAGCUGAUUUGCCACGUUGUAUUAUUUGAAAUGUUCAGUUUUCAACAAGAAAAAACGUACAAGACAUUCCAAGCAAGAGUAAAUAAAUAAAGUAUAUAGCCCAUA